UUGAACGCUGGCGGCAGGCCUAACACAUGCAAGUCGAGCGGUAGCACAGAGAGCUUGCUCUCGGGUGACGAGCGGCGGACGGGUGAGUAAUGUCUGGGAAACUGCCUGAUGGAGGGGGAUAACUACUGGAAACGGUAGCUAAUACCGCAUAAUGUCGCAAGACCAAAGUGGGGGACCUUCGGGCCUCAUGCCAUCAGAUGUGCCCAGAUGGGAUUAGCUAGUAGGUGGGGUAACGGCUCACCUAGGCGACGAUCCCUAGCUGGUCUGAGAGGAUGACCAGCCACACUGGAACUGAGACACGGUCCAGACUCCUACGGGAGGCAGCAGUGGGGAAUAUUGCACAAUGGGCGCAAGCCUGAUGCAGCCAUGCCGCGUGUGUGAAGAAGGCCUUCGGGUUGUAAAGCACUUUCAGCGGGGAGGAAGGCGUUAAGGUUAAUAACCUUGGCGAUUGACGUUACCCGCAGAAGAAGCACCGGCUAACUCCGUGCCAGCAGCCGCGGUAAUACGGAGGGUGCAAGCGUUAAUCGGAAUUACUGGGCGUAAAGCGCACGCAGGCGGUCUGUCAAGUCGGAUGUGAAAUCCCCGGGCUCAACCUGGGAACUGCAUUCGAAACUGGCAGGCUAGAGUCUUGUAGAGGGGGGUAGAAUUCCAGGUGUAGCGGUGAAAUGCGUAGAGAUCUGGAGGAAUACCGGUGGCGAAGGCGGCCCCCUGGACAAAGACUGACGCUCAGGUGCGAAAGCGUGGGGAGCAAACAGGAUUAGAUACCCUGAUAGUCCACGCCGUAAACGAUGUCGAUUUAGAGGUUGUGCCCUUGAGGCGUGGCUUCCGGAGCUAACGCGUUAAAUCGACCGCCUGGGGAGUACGGCCGCAAGGUUAAAACUCAAAUGAAUUGACGGGGGCCCGCACAAGCGGUGGAGCAUGUGGUUUAAUUCGAUGCAACGCGAAGAACCUUACCUGGUCUUGACAUCCACAGAACUUUCCAGAGAUGGAUUGGUGCCUUCGGGAACUGUGAGACAGGUGCUGCAUGGCUGUCGUCAGCUCGUGUUGUGAAAUGUUGGGUUAAGUCCCGCAACGAGCGCAACCCUUAUCCUUUGUUGCCAGCGGUUAGGCCGGGAACUCAAAGGAGACUGCCAGUGAUAAACUGGAGGAAGGUGGGGAUGACGUCAAGUCAUCAUGGCCCUUACGACCAGGGCUACACACGUGCUACAAUGGCAUAUACAAAGAGAAGCGACCUCGCGAGAGCAAGCGGACCUCAUAAAGUAUGUCGUAGUCCGGAUUGGAGUCUGCAACUCGACUCCAUGAAGUCGGAAUCGCUAGUAAUCGUAGAUCAGAAUGCUACGGUGAAUACGUUCCCGGGCCUUGUACACACCGCCCGUCACACCAUGGGAGUGGGUUGCAAAAGAAGUAGGUAGCUUAACCUUCGGGAGGGCGCUUACCACUUUGUGAUUCAUGACUGGGGUG
rnacentral:rRNA from 1 species